UACGUAGGGGGCAAGCGUUGUCCGGAUUUAUUGGGCGUAAAGAGCGUGUAGGCGGCCAAAUAGGUCGGUUGUGAAAACUGGAGGCUUAACCUCCAGACGUCGACCGAAACCAUCUGGCUAGAGUCCGGAAGAGGAGAGUGGAAUUCCUGGUGUAGCGGUGAAAUGCGCAGAUAUCAGGAAGAACACCCGUGACGAAGGCGGCUCUCUGGGACGGUACUGACGCUGAGACGCGAAAGCGUGGGGAGCGAACAGG
rnacentral:rRNA from 1 species